GGCCGGGCCCCCUCGAUUACUGGAAGGCGAACCGGGUCAGGCGGGGAACCGAGCAGCCCUAAGCGUGUCCAGUCCUGCGGGGGUCAGUCCGGCCGGG
rnacentral:SRP_RNA from 1 species